rnacentral:tRNA from 1 species
GCCUAAAAGCCUAGUGGACAUGGCAUCUGCCCGGUAAGCGGAAAACUGUGGGUUCGAUUCCCAUCCCUGGACA